UACGUAGGGUGCGAGCGUUGUCCGGAAUUACUGGGCGUAAAGAGCUCGUAGGUGGUUUGUCGCGUUGUCCGUGAAAACUCACAACUCAAUUGUGGGCGUGCGGGCGAUACGGGCAGACUGGAGUACUGCAGGGGAGACUGGAAUUCCUGGUGUAGCGGUGGAAUGCGCAGAUGUCAGGAGGAACACCGGUGGCGAAGGCGGGUCUCUGGGCAGUAACUGACGCUGAGGAGCGAAAGCGUGGGGAGCGAACAGG
rnacentral:rRNA from 1 species